rnacentral:rRNA from 1 species
GAUGAACGCUAGCUACAGGCUUAACACAUGCAAGUCGAGGGACCGGCGCACGGGUGAGUAACACGUAUCCAACCUGCCCUUUACUCGGGGAUAGCCUUUCGAAAGAAAGAUUAAUACCCGAUAUAAAGGAUGGGGAUGCGUUCCAUUAGGUUGUUGGUGAGGUAACGGCUCACCAAGCCUUCGAUGGAUAGGGGUGCUGAGAGGAAGGUCCCCCACAUUGGAACAGAGACAAGGUCCGAGCUCCUAAGGGAGGCAGGAGUUAGGGAUAUUGGUUAAUGAGCGCUAGCCUGAAACAGCUAAGUAGCGGGAAGGAUGAAGGCUUAUGGGUCGUAAACUGCUGUUAUAUAAGAAUAUGUAUUAGAUGAAUAAGGAUCAGCUAACGCCGUGCCAGCAGCCGCGGUAAUUA